rnacentral:rRNA from 1 species
GAUGAACGCUGGCGGCGUGCCUAAUACAUGCAAGUCGAGCGAACAGACGAGGAGCUUGCUCCUCUGACGUUAGCGGCGGACGGGUGAGUAACACGUGGAUAACCUACCUAUAAGACUGGGAUAACUUCGGGAAACCGGAGCUAAUACCGGAUAAUAUAUUUAACCGCAUGGUUCAAUAGUGAAAGACGGUUUUGCUGUCACUUAUAGAUGGAUCCGCGCCGCAUUAGCUAGUUGGUAAGGUAACGGCUUACCAAGGCAACGAUGCGUAGCCGACCUGAGAGGGUGAUCGGCCACACUGGAACUGAGACACGGUCCAGACUCCUAAGGGAGGCAGCAGUAGGGAAUCUUCCGCAAUGGGCGAAAGCUUGACGGAGCAACGCCGCGUGAGUGAUGAAGGUCUUCGGAUCGUAAAACUCUGUUAUUAGGGAAGAACAAAUGUGUAAGUAACUAUGCACGUCUUGACGGUACCUAAUCAGAAAGCCACGGCUAACUACGUG